UCGAUUUUAACGGUUUGCUCCUGAAAAAAGA
rnacentral:rRNA from 6 species